UCUAAGACUGAUGGCGACCGGCGCACGGGUGAGUAACACGUAUCCAACCUGCCCUUUACUCGGGGAUAGCCUUUCGAAAGAAAGAUUAAUACCCGAUAGCAUAAUGAUUCCGCAUGGUUUCAUUAUUAAAGGAUUCCGGUAAAGGAUGGGGAUGCGUUCCAUUAGGUUGUUGGUGGGGUAACGGCCCACCAAGCCUUCGAUGGAUAGGGGUUCUGAGAGGAAGGUCCCCCACAUUGGAACUGAGACACGGUCCAA
rnacentral:rRNA from 1 species